GGGGGUGUAGAUCAGUGGUAGAGUGCUUGCCUAGCAUAACCAAGUACCAGGGUUCAAUCCCCUGUACUGCCA
rnacentral:tRNA from 1 species